AUGCUAUGACAGCUAGGAUGUUUGCUUGGAAGCAGCAAUUCAUUUAAAGAGUGCGUAACAGCUCACUAGUCGAGCGUUCCUGCGCGGAAAAAUGAACGGGCAUCAAGCUCAAUACCGAAGCUAUGGACUCUACGGAGUGGUAGGGGAGCAUUCCAGUUGCGGCGAAGGUCAAGCGCGAGCUUGGGUGGAGCGGCUGGAAAAGAAAAUGUAGGAAUGAGUAACGAAAAAAUGGGUGAGAUACCCAUUCGCCGUAAGACUAAGGGUUCCUCGUUCGAUGUUAAUCAGAACAGGGUUAGCCGGGUCCUAAGGAGCAGCCGAGAGGCGAAUCUGAUGGCAAUCUGGUAAAAAUUCCAGAGCUUGCAAUCUCCUCAACCCCGUCCUCUUUUUAGUGUAUGCAAGCUCUGGAAUUUUUUACCAGAUUGCCAUCAGA
rnacentral:rRNA from 1 species